CACCAACGAAGCCCUAUCUCACAGCUCCCUCCUCAGGUGGCAAGAGGUCACUCAGGGCCCUCCUCCUCCACCAGACGCAGUGGACCCUAAGCACAGACCCCAGAGGCUCCAUCCUGGGAUAAAGAGAUCCUGUUCCCUACUUCCUUUAGACUUCACCCAGCAGCCCCAUUCCAUCUGAACAGGAAUCAUAAUGGAAAGAAGUUAGGACUCAAGGAGAAAGCAGACACUAUGAAGGCUCAUGAAGGAGAUGGACUCCAGAUUCAGACAAACCAGGUUUGAUGCCUGCUUCUGUAACAUGCUAGCUUUGUGAUCUAAGACAAGCGACUCACCUUCUCUGAUCCUUAGUCCCUCAUGGGAAUUACAAUAUCAUCUACGGCACAGACUGCUUAUAAGGAUCUAACUUUAUUCGGACAAAUUUUUAGCACAGUUUAGCAACUUGAUAAAUGAUUGCUACUA